rnacentral:rRNA from 1 species
AGCGAACGCUGGCGGCAGGCCUAACACAUGCAAGUCGAACGAACCUUUCGGGGUUAGUGGCGGACGGGUGAGUAACACGUGGGAACGUGCCUUUAGGUUCGGAAUAACUCAGGGAAACUUGUGCUAAUACCGAAUGUGCCCUUCGGGGGAAAGAUUUAUCGCCUUUAGAGCGGCCCGCGUCCGAUUAGCUAGUUGGUUGAGGUAAUGGCUCACCAAGGCGACGAUCAGUAGCUGGUCUGAGAGGAUGAUCAGCCACAUUGGGACUGAGACACGGCCCAAACUCCUACGGGAGGCAGCAGUGGGGAAUCUUGCGCAAUGGGCGAAAGCCUGACGCAGCCAUGCCGCGUGAAUGAUGAAGGUCUUAGGAUUGUAAAAUUCUUUCACCGGGGACGAUAAUGACGGUACCCGGAGAAGAAGCCCCGGCUAACUUCGUG